rnacentral:lncRNA from 1 species
GUCGGUUUUAACUGACAUCAAUUACUGGGUUUACCGAUUCCUUCUUCUCAGGUGCUUCAUUUUGUCCCUAAUGGUGGCAUAAAUGUAACAGUUUCUAGCUUUACAAGAUAAGAUAGCGAUCAUAGCCUCAAAAAGAGAAUUAGACAGAGAAAUCUACAUCAUUAUAUUAUCAAAGACAAGCAGAUGCAACCAAAACUUCACACGAGCAGAGCUCAGAGAAGGGUUUUGAUAUACUCGAUGGAACCAAAGAUAUAAAUCCAAGUGGAAGAUUACAAAUUAGUAAUGGCUCUAGGGUUACCUAGCAGGAUUCUGCCUAGACCAUAACCUAAAUUCCACAAUAAACAGUUAUCAUGUGAAUAAGUACUUUUUAAGCUCCCUACUAAAGUGAAACCUACUAGAUUCUGUUCCUCAAGUACUUAAGCUCUCUACUCAAUACCUAUUAGAUUCUAAUGCUGAAACUGAAAGCACAGAUGCAGAGAACUGGGAGUUUUUCAUGGACGUUUCAAGUUAUUGUACGUUCCAGGACCACAGUGAGUCCACAGACACUGAUCACAUGGAAACCAACAAAAAGGGGAAAGAAUAAAAUUAUUACGGAAAUUGACGGGACAACUUGCAACUCUGGCCCUCUGAGUUUUACUCAUAUGGUCCUCACUGCCAGAUAGAGAGCUGAUCCCACAUCAGACUGCAGAAACAUGACAUUCUGAUGAGUAUAUUAACUACGACAGCUCGUUUACGUGGAAAACUGUUCAUCAAAGACCCAUAUCAGAUGACACAGUGAAAACCUGAAAAAAAGUCUACAGUUUUACAAAGAGGGGGAGUUGGCCAAUAAAUGUUAAUCUGGGUAUGCUUUAAGAGUGUGGCAAUGUAAACUGGAAAUGGCAGGUUUGACGAGAAACGCCGGCAUCAGCUAAUAAAGUUCAGAGCAAGUUGAAUAGCUAGCUAUUUCACAAGCUUUCGUAAAAGGUCAAAUAAUCCCAUCUCAUCUAAUAAAUGAAUUUGGCAUUUCUAGGCACAUUACACUCUCACAUCAACCACUCAAUUCUGCAUGGUUUAACAUCAACAUCAAAGCCGGCAUCAGAAAAAAUUAAAACUUUAGCAGAUGGAUAAAAUCUACCAGUUCAGCAGAAGUUCAAACAAUCCCAUCUAACGUUAAUAAACGAAUUGGGUAGCCUGUAGACACAAAAAUCUCUCACAUCAAAUGCUCAAAAUGUGCAAACUUAAAACAUCAAUAUCAAAGCCUACCUCCAGUUCUUAACGUCCACACGUAUUCUACGACUUUCUGGCACUUGAGCUGAAAACAAAAGAAGAGAAAAACUUUCUCUGGCGCAUUUCGUCGAAAAGGUUGCGUGCAUUAACUUUGGACGCACCCAAUUAUACAUAUUCAGAAAAAAAGAAUCCCCAUAAAUGCCAG